CGUGUAGGUGGGUAAUUAAGUCAUGGGUGAAAACUGCGUGCUCAACAUGCAGACUGCCUAUGAAACUGGUUAUCUUGAGGGCAGGAGAGGAAAGUGGAAUUCCUAGUGUAGCGGUGAAAUGCGUAGAUAUUAGGAGGAACACCAGUGGCGAAGGCGACUUUCUGGACUGUCCCUGACACUGAGGCGCGAAAGCUAGGGGAGCAAACG
rnacentral:rRNA from 1 species